AGCAAAUGGUGCUACUGUAGUGUUCUCAGAUUAUAGCUGAUUGCUGAAUCUUAAUUAUACAGGACAAAGAAGAAAGCAAGAGGUUGCCUGUGCAGAACAUUAACUACGGUUUUGUGGGCAGUACUCUCAAAAUCAGCCUCCCUCGCAGGCUGUGGGAGCCCUCUAAUCCCAUUGCUUGCUAUGGGAAACGGAAGGAGCCGGAGGAGCUAGCAUGGAGUCAGCACCCAAAUGGAGACCAGAGUGAAGAAUUAAGAAGCAGGCAAGAAUUAAGAGCCCAGCAGGAGUCUUCCUCAGAAGAGAGACUGUCCGGGGACAUCCCAAUAUCAUGCUAAGAGGAAAAUCAGUUAUUUCAAGGCUCAUGUCAUGAGGUCUGCACUAGUGCCACCUUCCAGAUGGACAAGUCAUCUCAUGUAAAUCCUCUCUUGCGGCCCAUCACUCAUCUCACCCGGAGAUCUCCUGGAGAGUCCAGAGGAAAAUUGGAAGCAGCUACACUGUCCAUUGAUAGUAGACGGACUAAGAACUUAUGGCGCUUGCAUAAUGGAGCACCAGGAGACAGCACAUGCUCCUCAGCUUAUGAUGGAGGGACAUCUCAAAGCUGUGACAAGAUGAGCAUAUUGGCCUUUAAAAUGAUGUGUGCACACAUGUGGAUCUGUGUGUGUGAGUGCCUGUGGAGGUAGAGGCACUGGAUCAUUGGCUGGAGUUACAGGCAGCUGGAAGCCACCCAGAGUGGGUGCCGGGAGCUAACUCGGGUCCUUAACUGCUUGCUUGGCCAGCUCUCCAGCUCAAAAGCAGCACUGUGAUUUAGCCUCUUCUCUGUGUUCAGGUUGUAAACAGAGGGCAAGAAAACAGAAGAAAGCCAAGAACUAACAUGUGUACUUAGUCCAUAUCUUACUUGGGAAAUAUUCUAAAGAAACAUCAUUGGUGCCCGAGAAUUGAUGGCGUUGGAUUUGUUCCUCUGGCUUGAAUGAAUUUUAGUACAUUCUUAUCUGCCAGUUUGCAACUGCAUUUCAAGCAACUGGCACAGACAGAGUAUCCAAAACUUUCUUACAUUGAUGCUUCAGUGUUGUUUCUAUAUUACAGAAGAAAACAUGACUUAAGGAGAGCCAGGUAAACAGAUUUUAAGGACAGCCAUUGACUGCUGUAAGGGAUGGUGAGGACAAUGAUGGUGUCAGAGUGUUACUAAGUAGCUGUAAGCCAUGCUACAUUGUUAAUUAAUCAAACAGCAUUUCCACCUGUUGAUCUCACACAAGCAACUCACCAACCUGCAGUUCUGAUAUCGACCGAUAAGUAGGUCGUAUUAGUUUCAUAUUGUGGAUUAGGAAUUGAGACUUCAGGGAGGUUGUAGAAGAGGCAAGUUGACAGUUAAUAGUUGGCAGAGGCAGAGAGCAAACCAAGGGUGUUUUCCUCUAGUAUCUUGUUCCUUCUGACUUUCACACUGUUUAUCUCCUCAAAUUUCUUGCCAUUGCAGGGGAAUUGGUUUCCUGACCAAUAAAAUGGGGGAAUUUAGACUAUUUAAGUGACCACUAAAUUUAAUGGUACCCUUUGACAUUCUACAGGAAAUGGCCAAGGGGAGGUGAUUAAAAAAAAAUAAAGGUUUGUUUGGGCUCAUGGUCCUGGAGGAAAAAGGUCUAAAUAGCAUGUCACAAGCUCUGAUGUUGUCCUCCAGGCUAUGUCCUGGUAAUAAUGUACAUUCUAUACCCAUGUGUUCUCUUUCACCCCUUAUAAAGCCAACAGGACUUGAUUAUGAGGAAUUUGCCCUAACAAUAAUUGAAUGCAAUUGCUCCUCAAAGCCCCACCUGUAAAUAUUGUAUAAAGAUUGAGAAUUAAUACCUGCCAAUACCAUGAACAGAACACACUGGAGAUCAGUCUCCAGCAUUGUGGGGAGCCGCCCCCACAUUCUCCAUUACAAGAUGGCGCCAACACCCGUUGUCGGUUGGAGUAAACAAC